rnacentral:snRNA from 1 species
CCAUAGCCCCGAUAGAAACGAUAUCCUUUUUCUGCUUCCUUUAAGCAGAAAAAGGAUAUCGUUUCUAUCGGGAAUAGCU